ensembl:lncRNA
CAUAAAUCGUGUCAUAUUUCCAUAUCCAAUCUUUAUUACUGAUUAUUCACACUUGUCAUUUUGCAAAUGAUAAACUCUAACCAUGUCCCGAAUUAUGAAAAAGAACUACUUGAAUCUGAUCUGACUGUUCAAAAAUUUGAUUUUAAAUGGGAAAUGUCACUAAAUUUGACCUGCUUUUAGCACGUUAUGGUUAUUUAUCAUCAAACGUGUCUUGAUAAAGAAACAUUGCAUAAUAGUUGCACAUUUUAAGAGUAAUUCACUUCCAUACAGUCUUCCAAGUAAUUAAUAUCUAAGGCUGUUUGGAAUCGAACACGAGCUAACUGAAUACUUCACAUAGUACUGCAAAUGAUAUUUUCUUGAAUAGUAUGUGAAAUAAAUGCAGUAUGCAGUGUGACAUCCAAUCAUCAUUUUGGAAAUAGAGCUUAUUUAUAGUUAAAAUUACAACUUUUGACAUUCUCUUCAAAUGAAUCUAUACUAUAUUGGAAAUGGACUGUUAAGGCAAGCGCUUUGCAUUGUGGGAUGUUAUAUUCCAUGCAGUGUGCUGAUAUAUGCUACACAUUUGGUCAUCAGGGUAUUUCACGCAUACUGCAGAAGUAGUAGUAGUACGCAGGUAUGCUUUUCCUAACAGCCUAAAUCCCCCCAAACAAAAAGCAACUGUACUUUUCUAACAGCUGACAGAGAUUAUGGGAGAAGUGGUCUUAUGAUGUGACUAUCGGUCACUGCCUCAAAUCUUGCCAAAUCCUUUUGUCAAAUGCGUGCGAGUGCGGAGGAUGUUUUAGCCCUUCCGACAGGAACUCAUGUACCAAAGCCUCUAAAACAUCUUCAUCCUUGUCAUACACGCGUGCAAUGUUAAACCACAACUCGAAGACUGUUGAUCAGGUGUAUAAAAGACAAAUCAUUUCUUUUCAUUUCUACUGUGAGACAUUUAUUAUCCUCCUUUGUGUGUGUCUAUUAUUGCACUGUAAAUAAAGAGAAAGGCCCUGGAUUUCUACGAGGACACUACUGUCAGCUGUAUUUCAGACUCUAUUUUUUACUUUGGUUUUAGAGACUGUGCUAACCUGGAGCGCUGUACAAUUUGAACGUGGGAAACCUUUGUUACUUGUUGACUGUUACGUCCUUUAUCAACGUUGUGCAUUGGUUUCUAAUCGUUUCAAAUAUAUAUGUACAUUUUUGUUUGGACGCUAACAUCAGAAUGAAGUAUGUAUUGUAACGGAUGUAUCAUUUACCUUGAAUGUACAUGUAUUAUGGAAAAAAGUUGUUCCUAACGAUUAAAACAUUUUCAUAUGCAG